rnacentral:rRNA from 1 species
GACGAACGCUGGCGGCGUGCCUAAUACAUGCAAGUAGAACGCUGAAGGAGGAGCUUGCUUCUCCGGAUGAGUUGCGAACGGGUGAGUAACGCGUAGGUAACCUGCCUGGUAGCGGGGGAUAACUAUUGGAAACGAUAGCUAAUACCGCAUAAGAGUAGAUGUUGCAUGACAUUUGCUUAAAAGGUGCAAUUGCAUCACUACCAGAUGGACCUGCGUUGUAUUAGCUAGUUGGUGGGGUAACGGCUUACCAAGGCGACGAUACAUAGCCGACCUGAGAGGGUGAUCGGCCACACUGGGACUGAGACACGGCCCAGACUCCUACGGGAGGCAGCAGUAGGGAAUCUUCGGCAAUGGACGGAAGUCUGACCGAGCAACGCCGCGUGAGUGAAGAAGGUUUUCGGAUCGUAAAGAUCUGUUGUAAGAGAAGAACGAGUGUGAGAGUGGAAAGUUCACACUGUGACGGUAUCUUACCAGAAAGGGACGGCUAACUACGUG